rnacentral:misc_RNA from 1 species
CAUCGGAAGCCUAAAGAUGCAGGCAAUCUUGCUGGUACUGUUCGUCGGAGUAGCUUGUGUAGCUACUCCCACUCUCGCUGAUUACGAGCAAAAAUAUGAGCUUUCUAAGCCACACGUUCCUGUCUAUGAACCUUUCACCUUCAAGAAACCACCACUCAAGCCCCACACGGUGAAGAAGCCACCAGUUUACAAGCCAUUCCCUAAACCCGAGCCACCAAUUUACAAGCCCCCCAAGGAGAAGCCACCA